rnacentral:rRNA from 1 species
UACAGAGGGGGCAAGCGUUAUUCGGAAUUAUUGGGCGUAAAGGGCGCGUAGGCGGCUUUGCAAGUGACGGGUGAAAUCCCUCGGCUUAACCGAGGAACUGCCUGUCAGACUGUGAGGCUUGAGACUGGGAGAGGUGAGUGGAAUUCCCAGUGUAGCGGUGAAAUGCGUAGAUAUUGGGAGGAACACCAGUGGCGAAGGCGGCUCACUGGACCGGAACUGACGCUGAGGCGCGAAAGCGUGGGGAGCAAACAGG